GGGCUGGUAGUUUAGCACGGCUAUAACGCUUCCCUCACAUUCAUUUACUUUUAUGAAGAGGAUACGGAAGAAAUCGAGCGUUCAAAUCGCUCUCAGCUCA
rnacentral:tRNA from 1 species